rnacentral:rRNA from 1 species
CAGUAGCCACGGGAAUACGAAGGGUGCAAGCGUUAAUCGGAAUUACUGGGCGUAAAGCGUGCGUAGGCGGUGAGUUAAGUCUGCUGUGAAAUCCCCGGGCUCAACCUGGGAAUGGCAGUGGAUACUGGCUCGCUAGAGUGUGUCAGAGGAUGGUGGAAUUCCCGGUGUAGCGGUGAAAUGCGUAGAGAUCGGGAGGAACAUCAGUGGCGAAGGCGGCCAUCUGGGACAACACUGACGCUGAGGCACGAAAGCGUGGGGAGCAAACAGGAUUAGAUACCCCCGUAGUCCCUGUCUCUUAACA